AUCUAAGUACCCCGAGGAAAAGAAAUCAACCGAGAUUCCGAAAGUAGCGGCGAGCGAAAUUGGAUUAGCCCUUAAGCUUUACAUGUGUUAGACGAACGGUCUGGAAAGUCCGACGAUACAGGGUGAUAGUCCCGUAGUUGACGAUGCAUGUUCAGUGAAAUCGAGUAGGGCGGGACACGUGUUAUCCUGUCUGAAUAUGGGGGGACCAUCCUCCAAGGCUAAAUACUCCUGACUGACCGAUAGUGAACCAGUACCGUGAGGGAAAGGCGAAAAGACCCCAUGUGAGGGGAGUGAAAUAGAACCUGAAMCGUGUAACGUACAAGCAGUAGGAGCACCUUCGUGGUGUGACUGCGUACCUUUUGUAKAAUGGUUCAGCG
rnacentral:rRNA from 1 species